UGGGGAAUAUUGCGCAAUGGACGAAAGUCUGACGCAGCAACGCCGCGUGAGUGAAGAAGGCCUUCGGGUUGUAAAGCUCUGUCAUGCGGGACGAACACCCGUGAGUUAAUAGCUCACGGUCUGACGGUACCGCAGGAGGAAGCACCGGCUAACUCUGUGCCAGCAGCCGCGGUAAUACAGAGGGUGCAAGCGUUGCUCGGAAUUAUUGGGCGUAAAGGGUGGGUAGGUGGUCUCGUUUGUCUUAGGUGAAAUCCCUGGGCUUAACCCAGGAAGUGCCUUGGAAACGGCGAGACUGGAGUACUAGAGAGGUUCGUAGAAUUCCCGGUGUAGCGGUGAAAUGCGUAGAGAUCGGGAGGAAUACCAGAUGCGAAGGCGGCGAACUGGAUAGUCACUGACACUA
rnacentral:rRNA from 1 species